GGUUCAAUGGUCUAGUGGUUAUGAUUUCUGUCUCACACUCGUGGUGCACAGAAGGUCUCCAGUUCGAUCCUGGAUUGAACCA
rnacentral:tRNA from 2 species